GAUGAACGCUGGCGGCGUGCCUAAUACAUGCAAGUCGAGCGAAUGGAUUAAGAGCUUGCUCUUAUGAAGUUAGCGGCGGACGGGUGAGUAACACGUGGGUAACCUGCCCAUAAGACUGGGAUAACUCCGGGAAACCGGGGCUAAUACCGGAUAACAUUUUGAACCGCAUGGUUCGAAGUUGAAAGGCGGCUUCGGCUGUCACUUAUGGAUGGACCCGCGUCGCAUUAGCUAGUUGGUGAGGUAACGGCUCACCAAGGCAACGAUGCGUAGCCGCACUGGGAGGGUGAUCGGCCACACUGGGACUGAGACACGGCCCAGACUCCUACGGGAGGCAGCAGUAGGGAAUCUUCCGCAAUGGACGAAAGUCUGACGGAGCAACGCCGCGUGAGUGAUGAAGGCUUUCGGGUCGUAAAACUCUGUUGUUAGGGAAGAACAAGUGCUAGUUGAAUAAGCUGGCACCUUGACGGUACCUAACCAGAAAGCCACGGCUAACUACGUGCCAGCCACCGCCGUAA
rnacentral:rRNA from 1 species